rnacentral:rRNA from 1 species
CCUACGGGGGGCAGCAGUGAGGAAUAUUGGUCAAUGGGCGCUAGCCUGAACCAGCCAAGUAGCGUGAAGGAUGACUGCCCUAUGGGUUGUAAACUUCUUUUAUAUGGGAAUAAAGUGCAGUAUGUAUACUGCUUUGCAUGUACCUUAUGAAUAAGGAUCGGCUAACUCCGUGCCAGCAGCCGCGGUAAUACGGAGGAUCCGAGCGUUAUCCGGAUUUAUUGGGUUUAAAGGGAGCGUAGGCGGGUUGUUAAGUCAGUUGUGAAAGUUUGCGGCGCAACCGUAAAAUUGCAGUUGAUACUGGCAUCCUUGAGUACAAUAGAGGUAGGCGGAAUUCAGAGUGUAGCGGUGAAAUGCUUCGAUCUCUCGAAGAACUCCAAUUGCGAUGUCAGCCUGCUGGACUGUAACUGACGCUGAUGCUCGAAAGUGUGGGUAGCAAACAGGAUUAGCUACCCGUGUAGUC